CCUCGGGCGGCAGCAGUGGGGAAUAUUGGACAAUGGGCGAAAGCCUGAUCCAGCCAUGCCGCGUGUGUGAAGAAGGCCUUCGGGUUGUAAAGCACUUUCAGUGGGGAAGAAAGCCUUGGGGCUAAUACCCUCGAGGAAGGACAUCACCCACAGAAGAAGCACCGGCUAACUCCGUGCCAGCAGCCGCGGUAAUACGGAGGGUGCGAGCGUUAAUCGGAAUUACUGGGCGUAAAGCGCGCGUAGGCGGUCUGAUAAGCCGGUUGUGAAAGCCCCGGGCUCAACCUGGGAACGGCAUCCGGAACUGUCAGGCUAGAGUGCAGGAGAGGAAGGUAGAAUUCCCGGUGUAGCGGUGAAAUGCGUAGAGAUCGGGAGGAAUACCAGUGGCGAAGGCGGCCUUCUGGACUGACACUGACGCUGAGGUGCGAAAGCGUGGGUAGCAAACAGGAUUAGAUACCCUUGUAGUC
rnacentral:rRNA from 1 species